rnacentral:rRNA from 1 species
GGGCCCGCACAAGCGGUGGAGCAUGUGGUUUAAUUCGACGAUACGCGAAGAACCUUACCAAGACUUGACAUCCGCAGAAUCUUCUAGAGAUAGAGGAGUGCCUUCGGGAACUGCGUGACAGGUGGUGCAUGGCUGUCGUCAGCUCGUGUCGUGAGAUGUUGGGUUAAGUCCCGCAACGAGCGAAACCCUUGUCUUAUGUUACCAGCACGUUAUGGUGGGGACUCAUAAGAGACUGCCCGUGGAAAGCGGGAGGAAGGUGAGGACGACGUCAAGUCAUCAUGCCCCUUACGUCUUGGGCCACACACAUGCUACAAUGGCCGGUACAAUGAGUCGCGAAGCCGCGAGGUGGAGCCAAUCUCAAAAAACCGGUCUCAGUUCGGAUUGUAGUCUGUAACUCGACUACAUGAAGUCGGAAUU